UAGGGAAUAUUAGAAAUGGACGAAAGUCUGAUCUAGCAACACCGCGUGUGCGAAGAAGGCCUCCGGGUUGUAAAGCACUUUUUGGAAGGAUUAGGAAGGAAUGUACUUCCAGAAUAAGUCUAGGCUAACUACGUGCCAGCAGCCGCGGUAACACGUAGGAGGCAAACGUUAUCCGGAUUUACUGGGCGUAAAGCGCGUGUAGGUGGUUCUGUAAGUAGGGCGUGAAAGCUCCUGGCUCAACUGGGAGAGGCCGUUCUCAACUACAGAACUAGAGGAUGGUAGAGGGAGGUGGAAUUCCAGGUGUAGCGGUGGAGUGCGCAGAUAUCUGGAGGAACACCAGUGGCGAAGGCGGCCUCCUGGACCAUUCCUGACACUCAGACGCGAAAGCUAGGGUAGCAAACG
rnacentral:rRNA from 1 species